GAAGAUCCAAUUUUUUGGCUUAUAAAAGGCACCGCGUACGGACAAAGUUGAAAAAAGGAGGCCACGCAUUUGAGACAUUCGGUCAUAUCGAAGGGGAACAAAUUCAGAGAGAAAAGCACGAGAGAAGGGGGUCCUUUCCGUCGGUAAAAAAAAGCAAAGGGUGAAAAAGUGAGUGGAGAGAGGAAAAGUAGAAAAAAAGAGAAAAAAGAAAAGAAAAGCCCCCCCUUGCGCGACUGUUCAUCUUCCCCGCAGGGGGGGGGCCUUCGCCGCCCCUGUCGCCGUCGAACCCCGCCGUCGCCGUCGUCGAUCUCCGUCCGCGAGCGCUCGAGCCGCGAGCCCCGACGACCUGCGCCGCCCCGACGCUGAGCCCCCGGAGCCUCGACGACACGCCGCCGCCUGCUCUGGCCCGCGACCCGCCGCCUCCGCCUCACCUCUGCCUGCGCCUGCAACAGGAAGCCCCCGGACGCCGCGCCAAUCCCUGCCGUUGCAACCCUCCUCUGCAGAUUUGUCUCCGCCGUCAGAUCCCAAGCCACCGGUGACCUAGAGCCGCAGCUGAGCCGAGAUCCAGCCGCUGGAGUCCCUCCGCCUGCAAAUCCGAGGUCCCCGACGACAGAAGGCCCGAACCCAGCUCGAGGCUUCCCUUUCACCGGUGCCGAGCCUCGUUGAAGACCCACAUCUGACGCUGCCCUUGCUCCUCGCCGCGACGCUCGCCCCCGAUCCGGUUCUCUCACUGGACGCCGCGCCCAACAGCUCGAUCCAGACGCCGGAGCUCCUCAUCGCAGCCACCAGAGGCCUCCCGCCGUCCCUGCAGCGCCCCGCCGGCUGAAGCCCGUGAUCCGAGCGCCCCGACGCAGCCCCCGCGACGCAGGCCCGUGCCGCCCCGACGCCGCCUCCGCUUCGCCUCCAGCCCGAGCAGACCCGCGACGCUCCCUGCUGCCUCGCUGCCGACACGCCGCUCCGGAGCCUCGCCGGAACCCUAGCCAGUGAUCCCCCCCUCGCCGGACCGGCCACAGCUUUGUUUUUCUUUUUCUUUUUAAGAAAAAAAAAGAAAAGAAAAGAAAAAAAAGAGAAAAACAAAAGAAAAUUUAGGUAUUUUCUUUAUCUUAUUUUUGUUUUAUUAUUUUUGCUAUUUUAUUUUAUCUUUUUUUAGUGUAAUUAUUCAUUUAAUGUGAAAUUGAAAUUCCAUGAUAUGAAAUU
rnacentral:lncRNA from 1 species